CUUGGCUUCUCCGCUACAUCUUCAUAAGUCUGCAGAACUUUCUUCACACACACGCCACUCGCAACCUGAGUCAGGAUGUGGUCUUCCGUACACGUACUUGUUCUUUGGGCUCUGCUGAUUCAGGGAUGCUCAGGUGCUUCUUUUCUAAGGCAAACGGACAGAAUCAAGCCCGUCUCUCUCGGAGGGACGGUGACCAUCGGCGCCAAGGGGAGUUCAGACAUUGAUUGGCGUCUCAGUUGGUACCAACUGAAACCUGGGCAGCCUCCAAAACUGCUCAUCUACUUGGCAGAUAGUCUCGCCUCUGGAACGCCAUCUCGAUUCAGUGGCCAACGAUCCGGUUCCGACUACACCCUGACCAUUAAUGGUGUCCAGGCCGAAGACGUGGCCGAUUACUACUGUCUUGGCUAUCAUGCCGGCGGAGCGUACACACAGUGAUUUAGAGGCGUACAAAAACUUUUGACUUUGAGAGAAGUGAAACUGGCCUCUGACAAGGUGGAUGGGGCAGAAGACACUAAAUGAUAAGCAUGAGAGGUCCUCAAGCAGAAUAUUCAAGAUACUAAAGAUGACACAGUAUUUUUAUAUUUUUCAGUCAUUCAUCUUUUGUGCUGUGUGUCCUCAUUUUAUUUGAAAUAACUUCAGAAAUUCAUGUCUUUCGUGUUUUGUUUUGUUUUUUAAAUCUGUGAUUAUGUAUGUCUUCAUUUGCUCAAGGAGUGAACUUUUGAAUGUUAAUAUGAG